rnacentral:rRNA from 1 species
UACAGGGGGGGCAAGCGUUGUUCGGAAUUACUGGGCGUAAAGGGUUCGUAGGUGGCUUACUAAGUCAGACGUGAAAUCCCUCAGCUUAACUGGGGAACUGCGUCUGAUACUGGAAAGCUUGAGUGCAGGAGAGGAACGCGGAAUUCCAGGUGUAGCGGUGAAAUGCGUAGAUAUCUGGAGGAACACCGGUGGCGAAGGCGGCGUUCUGGACCGCAACUGACACUGAGGAACGAAAGCCAGGGGAGCAAACGGG